AAGCGGCGAUCUGGAAAGUGGCGGCAAGGCGGGUGUCCGGCCUGUCCGCCCACCGACGGGGGAAGCGGGGGCGGCGCAGCGACGCCAUUCCCGUGAAACUCUCAGGUCCCAUGACAGAGGGGAAGCA
rnacentral:ncRNA from 1 species